UGUUCUCGUAGCUCAGUAGGAUAGAGCAACCGCCUCCUAAGCGGUAGGUCGCUGGUUCAAUUCCAGUCGGGAACGUAAA
rnacentral:tRNA from 1 species